CCGCCCCCGCCCGCCAGGGGCGGCGGGCCCUACGAACCUUUGUAUCUCAACCACUAGAAAACCGUCUGAGGAAAAAAAACAAAAUAAUCAAAACUUUCAACAACGGAUCUCUUGGCUCUGGCAUCGAUGAAGAACGCAGCGAAAUGCGAUACGUAAUGUGAAUUGCAGAAUUCAGCGAACCAUCGAAUCUUUGAACGCACAUUGCGCCCGCCAGCAUUCUGGCGGGCAUGCCUGUCCGAGCGUCAUUUCCCCCCUCACGCGCCCCGUUGCGCGCUGGUGUUGGGGCGCCCUCCGCCUGGCGGGGGGCCCCCGAAAGCGAGUGGCGGGCCCUGUGGAUGGCUCCGAGCGCAGUACCGAACGCAUGUUCUCCCCUCGCUCCGGACGCCCCCCAGGCGCCCUGCCGUGAAAACGCGCAUGACGCGCAGCUCUUUUUACAAGGUUGACCUCGGAUCAG
rnacentral:misc_RNA from 1 species